UUUCAUGUAAACUAAAAAGUGUAACUCAGAGCCUUUGCAAAUUUCAUAUUCGUGUCUGUUCUUUGCUUUUCAUUUUGUUCAGGGUGUAUUGGGACACUGAGAUUGUUUGGCUCUAUGUCCCCAUCCAAAUCUCAUGUGGAAUUGUAAUCCCCAUGUGUUCAACGUGAGGCCUGGUGGGAGGUGAUUGGAUCAUGGGGGUGGUUUCUAAUGGUUUAGCAACACCCCCCUAGUGCUGUCACAUGAUAGAGUUCUUACAAGAGAUCUGGCUGUUUAAAUGUGUGUAGCACUUCCCCCUUCUCUCUCUCUUUCUCUCCUGCCAUUUGGUGAGAAGGUGCUUGUUCCCCUUUGCUUUCUGCCAUGAUUACAAAUUUUCUAAGGCCUCCAGUCAUGCUUCCUGUUAAGCCUGAGGAACUACAUGAAAAUCCAUGGCUCAUAUCUCCUGCUCAGGGAACAUAAUCAACCAGGUGUCCCAGCUGCUGUUCUUCUGGGUCCGCCACUGUGUUCAUGUUAAGGCCACAUUUCCCACAGGCUACUCAAGCAGCAACUGAGCAUAACAGGACAACUAAUGCAGGUCCAUUUCUGGAACACAUGGAACUCCACAACCAGAGGGGUCAGACCUUCAUGACAGGCUGAAGAGUUCCUUCUCCUCUUCUCCCUUUUACUUUACAAACAUUUCUCCAAUAAAUUUCUUACACAUCUAAUUUUGUCUCUUCUUGGUGUCUGCUUCUUGGAGAACCUGAACUAAUGCACUGUGUAUGUGUCACUUGUAAAGCAUGUUUUAAGAGGUCUAUGUUUAAUUUUAUUUUAAUCUGACAAAUUUUUCUUUUAAUGGAUGAGUUUAAUCUCAUGUUCUCUACUUGUGGUAUAUGAUAUGUUUAGUUUCACUAUUAUAUUGUUUUCUCUUUGCCAGCCUACUUCUUUACCUUUAGUUUUCCCCUUUCAUGUUUUCAAUUUGACUGCUUAAAUCCUAACAGGAAAAGCAUGGGCUACUACAAUAACAAAGCUUAAACUAUAAGUGGCUUCAAUUCAAAGUUAUUUCUCACCCAUUUUGUAUGAUCAUUGUACAUUGGCUUAUUUAGUCUCUCAGAAACCCAAACCGAUGAAGGCUCCAUCUCAACACACACUUUCCUAAGAAAGGCAAAUAAAAGAGAAUAUGCCAAACACUCACUGGCUCUUCAAGCUUCCAUCUAGAAGUGACACACGGCACUUCCACCUCCAUUGACUACAAGUAGUUACUUGGCCACUAAAUUCAAGUAUUGUAGUUACCUGAAUACCUAAAUUCAAAUGGGCAAGGAAAUGCAAUGCUAUCAUGUGCCCAGGUAGAAAAGGAUAUUUGUGUAUAGUCCUAUUGAAUACCUUUAUUCCCCUCUGUUGGGUUGAAAACCAUACAAUAUAUUCUUAUGCUUUUAAUGGUUGUUCUUAAAUAUGCUUUAAACCUAUCUACUUAACUACACAGUUGGCCUCCAUAUCUGUGGGUUCCGCAUCUGUGGAUUCAACGAAGCAUGAAUUGAAAAUACUUGAGAAAAAGACAUCUGUACUGAACAUGUGCAGAGUUUUUCUUGUCGUUAUUCUCCAAAACAAUAGAGUAAAACAAGUAUUUACAUAGCA
rnacentral:lncRNA from 10 species